rnacentral:rRNA from 1 species
GACGAACGCUGGCGGCGUGCUUAACACAUGCAAGUCGAACGAUGAACCAGGGCUUGCCCUGGGAUUAGUGGCGAACGGGUGAGUAACACGUGGGCAACCUGCCCCAGACACCGGGAUAACCAUUCGAAAGAGUGGCUAAUACCGGAUACGACCACUUUGGGCAUCCAACGGCGGUGGAAAGGAUUCUGGUCUGGGAUGGGCCCGCGGCCUAUCAGCUUGUUGGUGGGGAAUGGCCUACCAAGGCGACGACGGGUAGCCGGCCUGAGAGGGCGACCGGCCAAACUGGGACUGAGACACGGCCCAGACUCCUACGGGAGGCAGCAGUGGGGAAUAUUGCGCAAUGGGCGAAAGCCUGACGCAGCGACGCCGCGUGAGGGACGAAGGUCUUCGGAUUGUAAACCUCUUUCAGCAGGGACGAAGCGAAAGUGACUUUACCUGCAGAAGAAGCACCGGCUAACUACGUGCCAGCCGCCGCCGUAA